AAUUUUCUAAUUAAGUAAAUAACACUAUAAAAAAAAUAUAUACAUACUAAAUUUUCUUUUGCCAUGUAGAACUUUUGAAUUUUUCCUAAUUUUUCACCAAAGCAAUGAAUUAUUUACCGUCUUUCGCUUAUUUACUAUUUUUUUCUUUUUUCUAUAUAUAACUCUAAUAGCUUUAUAAAAAUUUUAACAAAUCAUAUAUAAUUUUAACAAUCUCAAAAUCGUAAUAAUCUAUUCAUACAAUCCUAACAAUCAAAUAAAAAUUUUAAUAAUUUACCUAUAAUCCUAACAAUUUCUCUUUUUUUUUUUAUUUUCUGUACAAUUCUAAUCAUGACGAAGACGGUGAAUCGUUAAAUGCAAUGAACGAUUCACCGUCUUUAGAAAGCUGGGAGAUUUUCAGAAUGCGGUAAAUGAUUCACCGCGUUUCGAUACGUGGUGAAUAGAAUUAGUUUGCCAAACACAAAUUUUAUAGGAUUAUUUUACAAAUUAUAAAAUUUUAGAGGAUUAUUUGGUAAAAAAGUCCGCGCACACACGCACUCUCAUAAUCCCCAUCAUAAUGAUGACAUCAUCAUCAUCAUAUCAUCAUCAUCAUAUAUACACGUUGGGGAAGUUAUCGGGUACAUUUGCCGCUCCGCACACCCUCUAACUCCUCGCCUCGUGAUUCGCGCUGUGAUUGAUUGGUCAACGCCUUUGACUCUCAUCUCUCCCCCAUCCCAUCUCUCACACUUCCACUGCGACCGUACGUGAAAACGGUUACAACCCCGCCCACCACCAAUUCGAAGAUGUCGCAAACAUCCCCCCCUUUCCCCUCUCUCUCUCUCUCUCUCUCUCUCUCUCUCGAAUUAGGGUUUUUGCGAUCCCAACUCCUCUCCUCACUCGUAUGCUAGGGCUCUAGAACGGGGGAGGGAGAAGGAGCUCACGAUGAGCGGCAAUGGCGGUGCCCUCACCUUCGCCUACUACGUCACCGGCCACGGAUUCGGCCACGCCACCCGCGUCGUCGAGGUAGUUCGGUUCAGUUGGCGAUCUCCCAUACGUUGUNUAUGUGUAUUAAUACAUUAAUAAUUAAUAAUAAUAGAGACCCAAGUUCGAAUCCUAAUUGAUUCACAUUUCUAGCUAAGUUUAUUACUAAAUGAAAUAAACGAAGCGGGUAUCGUGCUAUCUAUAUCUCAAAAAUAAUAAUAAUAAUAAUAAUAAUUAUAGGAAUCCACAAUGUUUCCUUAUCCAAAUAUCCAUUUCAUAUCACUCUCUCACGCUAUAGAACAAAAUAACUAUCCAUGCAACUCCCCCAUUACACACGGAUUUUUUUUUCAAAACGAUCCUAUAAAAUUUUCUAAUUAAGUAAAUAACACUACAAAAAAAAAUAUACAUACUAAAUUUUCUUUUGCCAUGUAGAACUUUUGAAUUUUUUCUAAUUUUUCACAAAAUCGAUAAAUUAUUUACCGUCUUUCGCUUAUUUACUAUUUUUUUCUUUUUUCCAUAUGUAACUCUAACAGCUUUAUAAAAAUUUUAACAAAUCAUAUAUAAUUUUAACAAUCUCAAAAUCGUAAAAAUCUAUUCAUACAAUUUUAACAAUCAAAUAAAAAUUUUAAUAAUUUACCUAUAAUCCUAACAAUUUCUUCUUUUUUUUUUAUUUUCUGUACAAUUCUAACCAUGACGAAGACGGUGAAUCGUUAAAUGCAGUGAACGAUCCACCGCCUUUAAAAAGCUGAGAGAUUUUCAGAAUGUGGUGGAUAAUUUACGGCG
rnacentral:lncRNA from 1 species